GCCUGGGUGGCUCAGUCGGUUGAGCAUCUGACUUUGGUUCAGGUCAUGAUCUCACGGUUCAUGGGUUCAAGCUCCGUGUUGGGCU
rnacentral:tRNA from 1 species